AUUGAACGCUGGCGGCAGGCCUAACACAUGCAAGUCGAGCGGAUGAAGGGAGCUUGCUCCUGGAUUCAGCGGCGGACGGGUGAGUAAUGCCUAGGCAUCUGCCUGGUAGUGGGGGAUAACGUCCGGAAACGGGCGCUAAUACCGCAUACGUCCUGAGGGAGAAAGUGGGGGAUCUUCGGACCUCACGCUAUCAGAUGAGCCUAGGUCGGAUUAGCUAGUUGGUGGGGUAAAGGCCUACCAAGGCGACGAUCCGUAACUGGUCUGAGAGGAUGAUCAGUCACGCUGGAACUGAGACACGGUCCAGACUCCUACGGGAGGCAGCAGUGGGGAAUAUUGGACAAUGGGCGAAAGCCUGAUCCAGCCAUGCCGCGUGUGUGAAGAAGGUCUUCGGAUUGUAAAGCACUUUAAGUUGGGAGGAAGGGCAGUAAGUUAAUACCUUGCUGUUUUGACGUUACCAACAGAAUAAGCACCGGCUAACUUCGUG
rnacentral:rRNA from 1 species